UAAAAAAGGAAGUCUUAAUACCAAUUUAUACCCAAGAAAAACAAAUCUAGAAAUUGUGGGGAAAAAAACAUAAGGUUGAUUGUAGGAGAAAUUGAUCAGAAACAGAAAACCUUCAAAGAAAGCUUUGGAACGACGAACAAGAAGAUGCCAUUGGGAAAAUAUUAUUGCGACUAUUGCGAUAAGCAAUUUCAAGACACUCCCUUUGCUCGGAAACGCCAUCUUCAAAGUCUCUCCCAUCAGAAGGCCAAAGCUCUAUGGUUCGACUCCUUCAAAGAUUCCAAUCAAACUUUCCCUCAUUCCUUCCACUUCCGACCACGCAUAUGUAAUCGAUUCCUCUCUACGGGGUUUUGCCAAUACGGUGAUUCUUGUAAAUAUUUUCACCCCAAGAACAACCACAAUGACAAUACGCACAACUCCAGUUCUCACCCCAUUGCAGGUUUCCCGGAAAAUACUCAACCCCCAAAUGUUCCGUUUAAUCGAUUUGUAGACGGCAACUCUUCUUCCACAGGUAGUCUAGUUAGCGAUAGACUGGGAACAUCAUGGGGAAAUUUACCUCCAUCACUGAUGCCUCCUCCAGAGGGUGGAUACCCACCUCUUCCUUUCGUAGAUUGGGGAUAAUCCAUCUCAAUAUCAGCUAUUGGUACAACUCUCAUCGGUUCUCUGGUUUCUGGGAAGUGCUACUCUAUUUAUGCAGAAAUUUGUACAAAUUUGUUGUCUUCACAUCCAGCAAAUGUGCUCUCUCUUGUUUCCCCUUCGGGCACGGGAGGCUCCAAAUGUUAUUGAUGUCGACAAGUAGCCAAAAUCAUCUAAAGAUAAGUAUGAAGAACAUUUGAAUGCACGUUUUUGAAAUACAUACAUUAGCCCUUAAAGCAUAUUAUUAUUUCUUUUAUUCAAGCAUCUUGACAAACAAGCAUCACCCCAAUACAUCCUCCUAUACAUUGGUAACCUAAUAACUUGAAGAUGCAAGAACUUCUAACAAGGAAGCAAUAAAUUGCAUCUGGGUCUCUUCAUCUAUAGUUAAGAAGAGAGGAACAUGAACAAAUAGUGAUUUGAUGCCGUUCUCUUCUGCUUGGCGGAGGGAAUGGUAGUAGACAUAAUUGCACACGAACCGACCAGCAUCAUCCGACGUCAUUACUUCGUAUCCCUUCUUUGCCAAUGUCUUGGUUAUUUCCUCCACUGGAAGAGAGGUCUGCAGGCAGAGUUCGGGUAUAAAAUCAGGACGAGGAAAUAAUUUGCAUAAAAAUUAAAGGUCAUCAAUGGCGGUAAUAUGAACCAACAAAGGUUCUGUAAUUUCUACAAAUCAAAUCUUAUGCCAUCUUCGUGUUUAUAAGCAAUGGAAUUUACUAUAUAGUUUGCAACCUGCCCCGAAGAAUAACAUAGACACCACACAACAGGGACACCAAUUUCGCAUUUCUCAAAUAAACAAACAUUACCCUGAAUGGCUUGACAUUUUAACAGAAAGAACUCCAAAUCAGUAGUGUUUAUAUUUAUAUCUCGAUCAUUAUAAAUUUUGUCCAAGUGUCGAUCAAUUUAUUAUCAACAAAAAAAUGAAAGAUAUAACAUUUAGCUUGAGUGUCAAAUGUGACACAUAUUCAUAAGUUCAUAAAACACAGUCGUUUGAUCAAAAGGUCAAAGGUUUAAGUUCAUCUCCACGUGUUGUUGAACUUAAACUCAAAAAAAUUAAACAGGUUCAAUCUGGGAAACAUGAUAAUAAAUGUUGCAUAUUUGUGUUUCAAAUGCUCUAUCAAUGUUGUCUAACGUAUGUUUGACAUAUAACCCUAACCAAACUGGUCAUGCUUUGUAGGUGCAACAAACCCUCAAAUGUAGGUGCCAACUAACCCUCAAAUAUCAACAGAUGCUGAUGUGUGAUAUAUUAACAUUAGUAUUUGGUAAAAGAGAAGCGAUGUGCAGAAAAGCAAAUCAAGCAAGAAGGCAUUCCCUAUAAAGUUCUAACACAGUCAGUAAUUGAUGGUUGUAUGUUUGUCCCAAGAAAAAACAAAUCCAGGUACCUCUCGUGUACGUGAUACUUCACCGUCCUCCGGUACAAUUGGCACUUUCUGCAGAGCAGACAAAAGUAAUAACAAAUAAUCAACCUCCCAGAAAAAUAGACCGUCAAGCAAACUAAACUCUGGAGACUAGGAGUUCCAAUUUUAUCGGAUGUCCCUGAAAGGACCUCCGGAGACUAGGAGAUAAAUACAUAUUAAGCAAAUUAUCUACCUGAGGCUUCCAUCCCAUUUCAUCAGGACAACGAAAAGUGGCUUCAUUAAAGGCUUGGCGUUCGAUAGCAAAUCUUGAAGCACCACUAUUCACUCCCAAGUGAAGCUGGAGGAAGAACAGUAACAAUUUCUGAGUCAUCACUCAGAACAUUAAUGAAGAUAACAAUAUUAAGUUGUUAACAUGAUGCAAGGCACAAACUUGCACAAGUUCUGCUUUAAGGUUUGCCGUUUCUCGUCUCAAUCAUCACAGUCAAGUGAAGGAAAUGGCAAAUGAAGACAGCUAAAUGCUUUCUGAACUUAAUGAUCUGUAUUUCAGAAUUAUGACACAUGUAUCUAGAUUGUUUAAGACGUGGAUUCCAUUUAUAUGAUUUUAUACAAAAACCAACUUUUUUCCUCUA